rnacentral:rRNA from 1 species
CUGGUUGAUCCUGCCAGUAGUCAUAUGCUUGUCUCAAAGAUUAAGCCAUGCAUGUCUAAGUAUAAACACGUUAUACUGUGAAACUGCGAAUGGCUCAUUAAAUCAGUUAUAGUUUAUUUGAUGGUUUUUGCUACAUGGAUAACUGUGGUAAUUCUAGAGCUAAUACAUGCGUACAAGCCCCGACUUCUGGAAGGGGUGUAUUUAUUAGAUAAAAAUCAACACUGUUGGUGAAUCAUGAUAACUUCUCGGAUCGCAUGGCCUCGUGCUGGCGAUACUUCAUUCAAAUAUCUGCCCUAUCAACUGUCGAUGGUAGGAUAGAGGCCUACCAUGGUUGCAACGGGUAACGGGGAAUAAGGGUUCGAUUCCGGAGAGGGAGCCUGAGAAACGGCUACCACAUCCAAGGAAGGCAGCAGGCGCGCAAAUUACCCAAUCCCGACACGGGGAGGUAGUGACAAUAUGUAACAAUAUACGGCUUUAUCGUCGUAUAAUUGGAAUGAGUACAAUUUAAAUCCCUUAACGAGGAACAAUUGGAGGGCAAGUCUGGU